rnacentral:rRNA from 1 species
ACGAACGCUGGCGGCGUGCUUAACACAUGCCAGUCGCACGGAAAGGCCCUGCUUUUGUGGGGUGCUCGAGUGGCGAACGGGUGAGUAACACGUGAGUAACCUGCCCUUGACUUUGGGAUAACUUCAGGAAACUGGGGCUAAUACCGGAUAGGAGCUCCUGUUGCAUGGUGGGGGUUGGAAAGUUUCGGCGGUUGGGGAUGGACUCGCGGCUUAUCAGCUUGUUGGUGGGGUAGUGGCUUACCAAGGCUUUGACGGGUAGCCGGCCUGAGAGGGUGACCGGCCACAUUGGGACUGAGAUACGGCCCAGACUCCUACGGGAGGCAGCAGUGGGGAAUAUUGCACAAUGGGCGGAAGCCUGAUGCAGCAACGCCGCGUGCGGGAUGACGGCCUUCGGGUUGUAAACCGCUUUCGCCUGUGACGAAGCGUGAGUGACGGUAAUGGGUAAAGAAGCACCGGCUAACUACGUG